CCUACGGGUGGCAGCAGUGAAGAAUAUUGGUCAAUGGACGAGAGUCUGAACCAGCCAAGUAUCGUGAAGGAUGACUGCCCUAUGGGUUGUAAACUUCUUUUAUAAAGGAAUAAAACGAGGCACGUGUGCCUUUUUGCAUGUACUUUAUGAAUAAGGAUCGGCUAACUCCGUGCCAGCAGCCGCGGUAAUACGGAGGAUCCGAGCGUUAUCCGGAUUUAUUGGGUUUAAAGGGAGCGUAGAUUGGUUGUUAAGUCAGUUGUGAAAGUUUGCGGCUCAACCGUAAAAUUGCAAUUGAUACUGGCAGUCGUGAGUACAGUUGAGGUAGGCGGAAUUCGUGGUGUAGCGGUGAAAUGCUUAGAUAUCACGAAGAACCCCGAUUGCGAAGGCAGCUUACUAAACUGUGACUGACAUUGAUGCUCGAAAGUGUGGGUAUCAAACAGGAUUAGAUACCCUGGUAGUC
rnacentral:rRNA from 1 species